rnacentral:rRNA from 1 species
UUUAAAUUUAAAUUUUUAUACUAAAGUAUUAUUAGUUAAGUUCUUGAAAUUUAAAGAUUUUGGCGGUAUUUUAGUCUAUUCAGAGGAACCUGUUCUGUGAUUGAUAGUCCACGAUAAAAUUAACUUUAUUUAUAAAUUUGUAUAUCGUUGUUUAUAAUAAUUUUAUAAGAAAAAAAAUUUUUUUAAUUUUUAAUUAAAAAAUAUUUCAGAUCAAGGUGCAGUUAAUAUUAAAGUAGAUAUGGGUUACAAUAAAUCUAUUUAUUAUGGAUUAAUGAAUUUAAAUUUGUUAAGAAGGAGGAUUUGAUAGUAAUAAAAUUUUAAUUAAAUUUUAUGAUUUUAGCUCUAAAAUAUGU